AGAGUUUGAUCCUGGCUCAGGAUGAACGCUAGCUGCAGGCUUAACACAUGCAAGUCGAGGGGCAGCAUGGUCUUAGCUUGCUAAGGCCGAUGGCGACCGGCGCACGGGUGAGUAACACGUAUCCAACCUGCCGUCUACUCUUGGACAGCCUUCUGAAAGGAAGAUUAAUACAAGAUGGCAUCAUGAGUCCGCAUGUUCACAUGAUUAAAGGUAUUCCGGUAGACGAUGGGGAUGCGUUCCAUUAGAUAGUAGGCGGGGUAACGGCCCACCUAGUCUUCGAUGGAUAGGGGUUCUGAGAGGAAGGUCCCCCACAUUGGAACUGAGACACGGUCCAAACUCCUACGGGAGGCAGCAGUGAGGAAUAUUGGUCAAUGGGCGAGAGCCUGAACCAGCCAAGUAGCGUGAAGGAUGACUGCCCUAUGGGUUGUAAACUUCUUUUAUAAAGGAAUAAAGUCGGGUAUGCAUACCCGUUUGCAUGUACUUUAUGAAUAAGGAUCGGCUAACUCCGUGCCAGCAGCCGCGGUAAUACGGAGGAUCCGAGCGUUAUCCGGAUUCAUUGGGUUUAAAGGGAGCGUAGAUGGAUGUUUAAGUCAGUUGUGAAAGUUUGCGGCUCAACCGUAAAAUUGCAGUUGAUACUGGAUAUCUUGAGUGCAGUUGAGGCAGGCGGAAUUCGUGGUGUAGCGGUGAAAUGCUUAGAUAUCACGAAGAACUCCGAUUGCGAAGGCAGCCUGCUAAGCUACAACUGACAUUGAGGCUCGAAAGUGUGGGUAUCAAACAGGAUUAGAUACCCUGGUAGUCCACACGGUAAACGAUGAAUACUCGCUGUUUGCGAUAUACAGCAAGCGGCCAAGCGAAAGCGUUAAGUAUUCCACCUGGGGAGUACGCCGGCAACGGUGAAACUCAAAGGAAUUGACGGGGGCCCGCACAAGCGGAGGAACAUGUGGUUUAAUUCGAUGAUACGCGAGGAACCUUACCCGGGCUUAAAUUGCAGAUGAAUUACGGUGAAAGCCGUAAGCCGCAAGGCAUCUGUGAAGGUGCUGCAUGGUUGUCGUCAGCUCGUGCCGUGAGGUGUCGGCUUAAGUGCCAUAACGAGCGCAACCCUUGUUGUCAGUUACUAACAGGUCAUGCUGAGGACUCUGACAAGACUGCCAUCGUAAGAUGUGAGGAAGGUGGGGAUGACGUCAAAUCAGCACGGCCCUUACGUCCGGGGCUACACACGUGUUACAAUGGGGGGUACAGAGGGCCGCUACCACGCGAGUGGAUGCCAAUCCCAAAAACCUCUCUCAGUUCGGACUGGAGUCUGCAACCCGACUCCACGAAGCUGGAUUCGCUAGUAAUCGCGCAUCAGCCACGGCGCGGUGAAUACGUUCCCGGGCCUUGUACACACCGCCCGUCAAGCCAUGGGAGCCGGGGGUACCUGAAGUGCGUAACCGCGAGGAGCGCCCUAGGGUAAAACUGGUGACUGGGGCUAAGUCGUAACAAGGUA
rnacentral:rRNA from 1 species